rnacentral:lncRNA from 1 species
GCGGUGAGGACAAGGUUCCUGCCGGUGAGGACAAGGUUCCUGCCGGUGUGGACAAGGUUCCUGCCGGUGAGGACAAGGUUCCUGGCGGUGUGGACAAGGUUCCUGCCGGUGAGGACAAGGUUCCUGCCGGUGAGGACAAGGUUCCUGACGGUGUGGACAAGGUUUCUGCCGGUGAGGACAAGCUUCCUGGCGGUGAGGACAAGGUUCCUGGCGGUGUGGACAAGGU